GUAUGUGAACAUGGGAAAAGGUAAGAUCUGAUCUGAUAUUUGCGUUGACAACCUUUGAAGUUUGUAUGUGAAUGGGGAAAAUUCGCGAGCACUAUAUAAAGCAGUUCCCAAUGCUGUUUUCAUCUCAACAAAGCUUAAAACAUAUGAAUGGCAACUCCUGACGAAACACGUACACCUCAGCAUCCAGCCCGGACGCCUGUUCUUACAGCAGUCACUCCUUCUCCAAGCCCAAGGCCUGAAUUCCCUCCUCCCAGUGAUCCUGCAGUGCAAGUGGAGACAGAUUCUGAUGACGAAACUUCGGAAAGUAGUGAUGAAGACUACGUGCCUCCAGCUCCUGCUCCACAGCGUGGUAGAGGCAGGGGCCUUGGUCAUGGUCGUG